rnacentral:rRNA from 1 species
UACGAAGGGGGCUAGCGUUGCUCGGAAUUACUGGGCGUAAAGGGCGCGUAGGCGGACAGUUUAGUCAGAGGUGAAAGCCCAGGGCUCAACCUUGGAAUUGCCUUUGAUACUGGCUGUCUUGAGUUCGGGAGAGGUGAGUGGAAUGCCGAGUGUAGAGGUGAAAUUCGUAGAUAUUCGGCGGAACACCAGUGGCGAAGGCGACUUACUGGCCCGAUACUGACGCUGAGGCGCGAAAGCGUGGGGAGCAAACAGG